AGUGAACGCUGGCGGUAGGCCUAACACAUGCAAGUCGAACGGCAGCACAGUAAGAGCUUGCUCUUACGGGUGGUGAGUGGCGGACGGGUGAGGAAUACAUCGGAAUCUACUUUUUCGUGGGGGAUAACGUAGGGAAACUUACGCUAAUACCGCAUACGACCUACGGGUGAAAGCAGGGGAUCUUCGGACCUUGCGCGAUUGAAUGAGCCGAUGUCGGAUUAGCUAGUUGGCGGGGUAAAGGCCCACCAAGGCGACGAUCCGUAGCUGGUCUGAGAGGAUGAUCAGCCACACUGGAACUGAGACACGGUCCAGACUCCUACGGGAGGCAGCAGUGGGGAAUAUUGGACAAUGGGCGCAAGCCUGAUCCAGCCAUACCGCGUGGGUGAAGAGGGCCUUCGGGUUGUAAAGCCCUUUUGUUGGGAAAGAAAAGCAGCAGGUUAAUACCCCGCUGUUCUGACGGUACCCAAAGAAUAAGCACCGGCUAACUUCGUG
rnacentral:rRNA from 1 species